GGUCGAUUAGCUCAGUCGGUAGAGCAUGGUACUAAUACAUUAUGUGUCAAUGCCAGGGUCGAGGGUUCGAGCCCCUCAUGGACCA